rnacentral:rRNA from 1 species
AUUGAACGCUGGCGGCAGGCCUAACACAUGCAAGUCGAACGAGUGGCGGACGGGUGAGUAAUGUCUGGGAAACUGCCCGAUGGAGGGGGAUAACUACGGGAAACGGUAGCUAAUACCGCAUACCAUCGGAUGUGCCCAGAUGGGAUUAGCUUGUAGGUUAGGUAACGGCUCAACUAGGCGACGAUACCUAGCUGAGCUGAGAGGAUAGCCAGCCAGCCUGGAACUGAGACACGUGCCCGACUCCUUAGUGAUGCAGCAGGUGGGAAUAUUGAACAAUGGGCGCAAUCUAGAUGCAGCCAUGGCGCGGGGAUGAAGCGGGCCUUCGGGUGUUAAAGUACUUUCAGCGGGGAGCCGUUACCCGCAGAAGAAUCACCGGCUAACUCCUUGCCAGCAGCCGCGGAAAUUC